rnacentral:rRNA from 1 species
AACGAACGCUGGCGGCAUGCCUAACACAUGCAAGUCGAACGAGACCUUCGGGUCUAGUGGCGCACGGGUGCGUAACGCGUGGGAACCUGCCCUUAGGUUCGGGAUAACUCCCCGAAAGGGGUGCUAAUACCGGAUAAUGUCUUCGGACCAAAGAUUUAUCGCCUUUGGAUGGGCCCGCGUUGGAUUAGCUAGUUGGUAGGGUAAAAGCCUACCAAGGCGACGAUCCAUAGCUGGUCUGAGAGGAUGCUCAGCCACACUGGGACUGAGACACGGCCCAGACUCCUACGGGAGGCAGCAGUGGGGAAUAUUGGACAAUGGGCGAAAGCCUGAUCCAGCAAUGCCGCGUGAGUGAUGAAGGCCUUAGGGUUGUAAAGCUCUUUUACCCGGGAUGAUAAUGACAGUACCGGGAGAAUAAGCUCCGGCUAACUCCGUG